rnacentral:rRNA from 1 species
UACGUAGGGUGCAAGCGUUGUUCGGAUUCAUUGGGCGUAAAGGGUGCGUAGGCGGCGCGGUAAGUCGGGUGUGAAAUCUCGGGGCUUAACUCCGAAACUGCAUUCGAUACUGCCGUGCUUGAGGACUGGAGAGGAGACUGGAAUUUACGGUGUAGCGGUGAAAUGCGUAGAUAUCGUAAGGAAGACCAGUGGCGAAGGCGGGUCUCUGGACAGUUCCUGACGCUGAGGCACGAAGGUCAGGGGAGCAAACGGG